rnacentral:rRNA from 1 species
AUAACGGUCCUAAGGUAGCGAAAUUCCUUGUCGGGUAAGUUCCGACCUGCACGAAAGGCGCAACGACUUGGGCGCUGUCUCGACCAUGGACCCGGUGAAAUUGCACUGGUCGUGAAGAUGCGACUUACCCGCGGAAGGACGGAAAGACCCCGUGAACCUUCACUGCAGCUUGGCAUUGGCCGCUGGUCCCGCGUGUAGAGGAUAGGCAGGAGGCAUCGAUCCGGAGGCGCCAGCCCCCGGGGAGCCGCCCUUGGAAUACUGCCCUCGCGCGACCGGCGUCCUAACCCGAGGCCGUCGACCGGCUCGGGGACCGUGCCAGGCGGGCAGUUUGACUGGGGCGGUCGCCUCCUAAAGGGUAACGGAGGCGCGCGAAGGUCCGCUCGGGACGGUCGGCAACCGUCCUUUUGAAUGCAAGAGUACAAGCGGGCUUGACUGCGAGGCCCACAAGCCGAGCAGGUGCGAAAGCAGGCUCUAGUGAUCCGGCGGCCCCGAGUGGGUGGGCCGUCGCUCAACGGAUAAAAGGUACUCCGGGGAUAACAGGCUGAUCUUGCCCAAGAGUCCACAUCGACGGCAAGGUUUGGCACCUCGAUGUCGGCUCAUCGCAUCCUGGGGCUGGAGCAGGUCCCAAGGGUUGGGCUGUUCGCCCAUUAAAGCGGUACGCGAGCUGGGUUCAGAACGUCGUGAGACAGUUCGGUCCCUAUCCUCCGUGGGCGCAGGAGAAUCGAUGGAGGCUGCCCCCAGUACGAGAGGACCGGGGUGGACGCACCUCCGGUGAACCGGUUGUCGACCAACGGCACGGCCGGGUAGCCGCGUGCGGCGCGGAUAACCGCUGAAGGCAUCUAAGCGGGAAGCCGUUCCAGGGAUUAGUUCUCCUUCCGGUAAGGGCCCAGGUAGACUACCUGGUCGAUAGACGGCAGGUGCAAGGGCGGCGACGUCCUCAGCCGAGCCGCACUAAUCGCCCGAGCUCUUCCGGAA